GACGAACGCUGGCGGCGUGCCUAAUACAUGCAAGUAGAACGCUGACGAGAGGAGCUUACUCUCCUUGGAUGAGUUGCGAACGGGUGAGUAACGCGUAGGUAACCUGCCUUGUAGCGGGGGAUAACUAUUGGAAACGAUAGCUACUACCGCAUCACAAUGGCUGACACAUGUAAUUUAUUUGAAAGGGGCAUUUGCUCCACUACAAGGUCGAUCUGCGUUGUAUUAGCUAGUAGGUGAGGUAAUGGCUCAACUAGGCGGCGAUACAUAGCCGAGCUGGGAGGGAGGUCGGGCACCAUGGGACUGGGGCACCGCCCAGGCUUCUACGGGGGGCAGCAGGAGGGAAACUUCGGCAAUGGGGGCAAACCUUACCGAACAACGCCGCGGGAGGGAAGAAGGUUUUCGGAGCGUAAAGCUCUGUUUGAAGUGAAGAACGAGUGUGAGGUUGGAAAGUUCACGCUGUGACGGUAGCUUACGAGAAAGCGACGGCUAACUACGUG
rnacentral:rRNA from 1 species